ACUCCAUCUGCACAUCAUCACUUUCAUCAUCAAGGCGUUUUCUUUACAUACUCCGGUUGAGUUUAUGCUCUUCUAAAAAACCUGCAAAAAUCAAAUCAAAAUUUUCAUUACAACGCCUUCUGAAUUUCAGAAAACUAUGUGCAACAUAAUCAUGCAAGUAUCAUAUACUAAUCUAAAAAUAAAAUAAAAACCUUUAUGCCCAAAUAUCCAU